AGGGUUUGAUUAUGGCUCAGGAUGAACGCUAGCGACAGGCUUAACACAUGCAAGUCGAGGGGCAGCACGAUGUAGCAAUACAUUGGUGGCGACCGGCGCACGGGUGAGUAACGCGUAUGCAACCUACCUAUCAGAGGGGAAUAACCCGGCGAAAGUCGGACUAAUACCGCAUAAAACAGGGGUUCCACAUGGAAAUAUUUGUUAAAGAAUUAUCGCUGAUAGAUGGGCAUGCGUUCCAUUAGAUAGUUGGUGAGGUAACGGCUCACCAAGUCCACGAUGGAUAGGGGUUCUGAGAGGAAGGUCCCCCACACUGGUACUGAGACACGGACCAG
rnacentral:rRNA from 1 species